rnacentral:rRNA from 1 species
UACGUAGGCAGCGAGCGUUGUUCGGAGUUACUGGGCGUAAAGGGUGUGUAGGCGGUUGUUUAAGUUUGGUGUGAAAUCUCCCGGCUCAACUGGGAGGGUGCGCCGAAUACUGAAUGACUUCGAGUGCGGGAGAGGAAAGUGGAAUUCCUGGUGUAGCGGUGAAAUGCGUAGAUAUCAGGAAGAACACCCGUGGCGAAGGCGGCUCUCUGGGACGGUACUGACGCUGAGACGCGAAAGCGUGGGGAGCGAACAGG